rnacentral:rRNA from 1 species
UCCAGACUCCUACGGGAGGCAGCAGUGGGGAAUAUUGCACAAUGGGGGAAACCCUGAUGCAGCAACGCCGCGUGAGUGAAGAAGUCAUUCGUGAUGUAAAGCUCUAUCAGCAGGGAAGAAAAUGACGGUACCUGAGUAAGAAGCCCCGGCUAACUACGUGCCAGCAGCCGCGGUAAUACGUAGGGGGCAAGCGUUAUCCGGAUUUAUUGGGUUUAAAGGGUGCGUAGGCGGCAUUAUAAGUGAGUGGUAAAAUAUUGGGGCUACACCUCACUACGCCAUUAAUACUGUAGAGCUAGAGAACAGACGAGGUAGGCGGAAGAAGUUAAGUAGCGGUGAAAUGCAUAGAUAUAACUUAGAACAC